UGCGUAGGUGGCGGGGUAAGUCGGAUGUGAAAUCUCCGAGCUCAACUCGGAAAUGGCAUUGGAAACUACCUUGCUCGAGGGUUGGAGGGGGGACUGGAAUACUUGGUGUAGCAGUGAAAUGCGUAGAUAUCAAGUGGAACACCAGUGGCGAAGGCGAGUCCCUGGACAACUCCUGACACUGAGGCACGAAAGCUAGGGGAGCAAACA
rnacentral:rRNA from 1 species